rnacentral:ncRNA from 1 species
AUAAUGAUACUUUUGCACAGCCACAAUCUCAAAUAAUGGGUGCAACUCUGUGAGAACCACAGAGAGGUGAAAGUCCUAUG